UACGUAGGGUGCAAGCGUUGUCCGGAAUUAUUGGGCGUAAAGAGCUCGUAGGCGGUUUGUCGCGUCGAAUGUGAAAACCCGGGGCUCAACCCCGGGCCUGCAUUCGAUACGGGCAGACUAGAGUUCGGUAGGGGAGUCUGGAAUUCCUGGUGUAGCGGUGAAAUGCGCAGAUAUCUGGAGGAACACCGGUGGCGAAGGCGGGACUCUGGGCCGAUACUGACGCUGAGGAGCGAAAGCGUGGGGAGCGAACAGG
rnacentral:rRNA from 1 species